rnacentral:lncRNA from 1 species
CUACAUGACCCGACACGGUGUUGGGAACUGUCCACUCGCUCUCCCUGGAGCUGCUCUAACUGUGUCUAGAUCCAAUUUGGGGCAGCCAGCCUGGUUUGUAACAUUACCGCGAGGAUGGAAAUAGAGCAUAGUUGAAGGCAGGGAGGAGACAGGGGUCUGUCUAGUCCGCGAGUGCUGGCUAUGUGGAGCUACCAGCCCUCUGUAGGAUGUCCUUGAAGUUUAGUUGACUAGGAUCUAAAAUCCUACUCCAUCAUUUCUUUGCUGGGCAAUCUUGGGCCUGCUUCUUGACAUCUCUGGUCCUCUUGUUUUAUCCUCUAUAAAAAUGGGGAUCAAGGGGAUGUAGAAGGUCUGUGAGGAUUUAAAGAGCAUCUGUGCACCAGGCUUAGCACAGAGCCUGGACACACCGCGAAUGCUCUGUUAUUAUAAUUAGAGACCAGAGGCCACCCCCUUCCCUAUUCUCGCUCCUCAGGGAUCUCCACCCCCUCUCCAGCUCCAUUUAAUUCUGAGUGUUUUAGGUCAUUCUAUGGCUGGCGGUCUGCCAAGGCUCUGACAAAGACAGGAGUUCCUGCUCAUUCAUCCUAAUGCAAGUUCCUGCGUUUAUGAUAAUAGGGGAAAUGCAUGAAAGGGCUCACUGCCUGUGGAGGGGAAAUCGGCUUAGAAUUGAAAACCGAGCCCUUCCUAGGCCCAGCUCUCCCCUCCCAGCGCUUUGGCUGGGGCGACAGAAGGGAGGGUGGCUGGGAGGAGCCGAGAGGGGAAGAGGGCGGUGAGGCAGAACUCACUGAAGGGAACCGAAGGGCAGGCAGGGGGCCGCGGGAGAGGGCCUGGUUCGCCCGGUGAAUGGGUUUCAGGGUGGCUGAGGAAGCCUGCCAAAAAGGCGAAGUGAAAAGGCCAGACCCUGCGAGGCGCUGCGCUAGCGGUUUCCAUGGCGACCCCAGCUGCCUCUGGGCCCCGGUGGCUGGUUGGCUGGCUCCGUGGCGGGGCCUCGUCUGCCACCGCACGGUUACUCAGCUUGAAAAAGAGGCAAAGAAAAUCUGAAGGGUUGUCUAGGCCCAGUCAGUGCCACUGUGGCUCCCAGCCUCACGGGGAUGGAAUCCUGAGGCCAGUGGAUGGAUGCAGGUACAUCUGGUCCAGCAGAGGGGUCUGGUUAGCAGGGAGAGGGUUUGGAGAGAGACAGACAGACAGAGAGACAGGCAGAGACAGACACAGAGAGACAGGCAGAGACAGAGACACAGAGAGAGACAGAGGAGAGGAACACACACACACACACACACACACACACACACACACACACACACACAC